rnacentral:lncRNA from 1 species
ACCACAUACAGUAUUAUUUACCAUUGUUUACACGUCCUUAAAUGAAGCACAGCUCUCACAUAGGAAGAAGAGUUCCACCGGGCUGAAGUGCGAACUCCCCUGUGCUUCCUGUGGUUAGGGCAAUCCAGAUGGCAGCGGGAGGUCGUCCACCCGAGAGAGACCAGAUAGUGGAGGGGGGCCCAGACCGUGGGAGCCUCUGGGGGCUGUACUUUGGAACUUUGACCUUGAGGAUAGAAUUUGCUUUUUAGUAACUAUUUGCUUUUGUUCUCCCAUGAUGUUAAUAGAGCUAUAUCUUAUAACUCAGUUGUAAGGUGAAAAAGUUAUAUAUAAUAAUUGAAAAUAAGCUUUUC